GCACUAGGUCACGAAGCUGUCAAGAGAGAGAGAGAGAGAGAGAGAGAGAGAGACCAAGUACAGUUUUGGGGGGAAUAGCCAUGGUGGUAAUAGCAUCCAAGAGAAUGGGCUUGAUGAUGCUUGUGGCGACACUCAUACUGUGCUCGUCCAUUGGUGCCGACGCCGACGCGCACAUACUUGUGUCGCGCAAGUGGAGAUGUGUAAUGUUAUGUGCCUUGACACCUCCUAUAAUUCCAUGCGUUCUCAAAUGCCUCAUCUAUCCUCCCACACAGUCCUUGACGUCCGCGGCAUCGCAACAUUGCGAUGUCGGUUGUUUCUUGUCUACUUGCCUGGACAAUCAUCAAGACACCGAGAAAGUUGGAAUGGACGUGAACAAGGCUGGAGCUUGUGCAGAUUCAUGC